rnacentral:rRNA from 1 species
UACAGGGGGGGCAAGCGUUGUUCGGAUUCACUGGGCGUAAAGGGUGCGCAGGUGGUCGGGUAAGUCUGAUGUGAAAUCCCGCAGCUUAACUGCGGAAUGGCAUUGGAUACUAUUUGGCUAGAGGGUUGGAGGGGGGACUGGAAUUCUCGGUGUAGCAGUGAAAUGCGUAGAUAUCGAGAGGAACACCAGUGGCGAAGGCGAGUCCCUGGACAACUCCUGACGCUGAGGCACGAAAGCUAGGGGAGCAAACAGG